CCUACGGGAGGCAGCAGUGAGGAAUAUUGGUCAAUGGGCGCUAGCCUGAACCAGCCAUGUAGCGUGAAGGAUGACUGCCCUCUGGGUUGUAAACUUCUUUUAUAGGGGAAUAAAGUGCAGUAUGUAUACCGCUUUGCAUGUACCUUAUGAAUAAGGAUCGGCUAACUCCGUGCCAGCAGCCGCGGUAAGACGGAGGAGCCGAGCGUUAGCCGGAUUUAAUGGGGUGAAAGGGAGCGUAGGCGGGUUGUUAAGUCAGUUGUGAAAGUUGGCGGCUCAACCGUAAAAUUGCAGUUGAUACUGGCAGCCUUGAGUACAGUAGAGGUAGGCCGAAUUCGUGGUGUAGCGGUGAAAUGCUUAGAGAUCACGAAGAACUCCGAUUGCGACGGCAGCCUGCUGGACU
rnacentral:rRNA from 1 species